UACGUAGGGUGCGAGCGUUGUCCGGAAUUAUUGGGCGUAAAGAGCUCGUAGGCGGUGUGUCACGUCGGCCGUGAAAACCUGGGGCUUAACUCUGGGCGUGCGGUCGAUACGGGCAUCACUAGAGUUCGGCAGGGGAGACUGGAAUUCCUGGUGUAGCGGUGAAAUGCGCAGAUAUCAGGAGGAACACCAAUAGCGAAGGCAGCUCGCUGGGACGGUAGUUGACGCUAAGGGCGCGAAACGUGGGGAGCAAACAGG
rnacentral:rRNA from 1 species